GAUGAAGAACGCAGCGAAAUGCGAUAAGUAGUGUGAAUUGCAGAAUUCAGUGAAUCAUCGAAUCUUUGAACGCACAUUGCGCCCCUUGGUACUCCAUGGGGCAUGCCUGUUCGAGCGUCAUUUACACCCUCAAGCUCUGCUUGGUGUUGGGCGUCUGUCCCGCUUCGUGCGCGGACUCGCCUCAAAUGCAUUGGCAGCGGUCUUGCCAGCUUCUCGCGCAGCACAUUGCGCUUCUAGAGGCUUUGGCGGAUCGGCGUACAUCAAGUACACCCACAGUUUGACCUCGGAUCAGGUAGGGAUACCCGCUGAACUUAAGCAUAUCAAUAAGCGGAGGA
rnacentral:misc_RNA from 1 species